GCCGGCGUAGCUCAAUUUGGUAGAGCAGCUGAUUUGUAAUCAGCUUGUUGGGGGUUCAAGUCCUCUCGCCGGCUCCA
rnacentral:tRNA from 1 species